rnacentral:sRNA from 2 species
CUUCGCAGCCCUCCUUGGGCGUUUCCUCCCUAGACUUGGGCCGUUCGUGAAAAAUUCGGACGGCCCUUUUUCUUUAUAAAU